rfam:Hordeum vulgare subsp. vulgare, WGS project CAJW01000000 data, contig: morex_contig_1579454
GUAGUACUCCCUCUGUCCGGAAUUACUUGUCGUAAAAAUGGAUGUAUCCAGAACUAAAAUGCAUCUAGACACAUUCAUUCCUUGGACAAGUAUUUUCGAACGGAGGGAGUACAAU